rnacentral:rRNA from 1 species
GAUGAACGCUGGCGGUAUGCUUAACACAUGCAAGUCGAACGGACUCUUCGGAGUUAGUGGCGGACGGGUGAGUAACGCGUGAGAAUCUGGCUUUGGGUUCGGGACAACCACUGGAAACGGUGGCUAAUACCGGAUGUGCCGAGAGGUAAAAGAGAAAUUGCCUGAAGAUGAGCUCGCGUCUGAUUAGCUAGUUGGUGAGGUAAAGACUCACCAAGGCAGCGAUCAGUAGCUGGUCUGAGAGGAUGACCAGCCACACUGGGACUGAGACACGGCCCAGACUCCUACGGGAGGAGGCAGUGGGGAAUUUUCCGCAAUGGGCGAAAGCCUGACGGAGCAAUACCGCGUGAGGGAAGAAGGCUCUUGGGUUGUAAACCUCUUUUCUUAGGGAAGAACAAAAUGACGGUACCUAAGGAAUCAGCAUCGGCUAACUCCGUG